rnacentral:rRNA from 1 species
UACGUAGGGGGCUAGCGUUGUCCGGAAUCAUUGGGCGUAAAGCGCGCGUAGGCGGCCCGGUAAGUCCGUUGUGAAAGUCAAAGGCUCAACCUUUGAACGCCGAUGGAUACUGCCGGGCUAGGGUCCGGAAGAGGCGAGAGGAAUUCCUGGUGUAGCGGUGGAAUGCGCAGAUAUCAGGAGGAACACCAAUAGCGAAGGCAGCUCGCUGGGACGGUACUGACGCUGAGGCGCGAAAGCGUGGGGAGCGAACAGG